rnacentral:rRNA from 1 species
AGAAUCAUUCACAAUGGGGGAAACCCUGAUGGUGCGACGCCGCGUGAAGGAUGAAGGUCUUCGGAUCGUAAACUUCUGUCAUUUGAGAACAAUUGUCGGGAUAGUAACUGACCCUGGCUUGAUAGUAUCGGAAGAGGAAGAGACGGCUAACUCUGUGCCAGCAGCCGCGGUAAUACAGGGGUCUCAAGCGUUGUUCGGAUUCAUUGGGCGUAAAGGGGGCGUAGGCGGCGCUGUAAGUCGGAUGUGAAAUCCCGGGGCUCAACCUCGGAACUGCAUUCGAUACUGCAGUGCUAGAGGACUGGAGAGGAGAUCGGAAUUCAUGGUGUAGCAGUGAAAUGCGUAGAUAUCAUGAGGAAGACCAGUGGCGAAGGCGGAUCUCUGGACAGUUCCUGACGCUGAGGCACGAAGGCUAGGGUAGCGAAC